rnacentral:rRNA from 1 species
AUGAACGCUGGCGGCGUGCCUAAUACAUGCAAGUCGCGCGAACAGACGAGGAGCUUGCUCCUCUGACGUUAGCGGCGGACGGGUGAGUAACACGUGGAUAACCUACCUAUAAGACUGGGAUAACUUCGGGAAACCGGAGCUAAUACCGGAUAAUAUAUUGAACCGCAUGGUUCAAUAGUGAAAGACGGUUUUGCUGUCACUUAUAGAUGGAUCCGCGCCGCAUUAGCUAGUUGGUAAGGUAACGGCUUACCAAGGCAACGAUGCGUAGCCGACCUGAGAGGGUGAUCGGCCACACUGGAACUGAGACACGGUCCAGACUCCUACGGGAGGCAGCAGUAGGGAAUCUUCCGCAAUGGGCGAAAGCCUGACGGAGCAACGCCGCGUGAGUGAUGAAGGUCUUCGGAUCGUAAAACUCUGUUACUAGGGAAGAACAAAUGUGUAAGUAACUAUGCACGUCUUGACGGUACCUAAUCAGAAAGCCACGGCUAACUACGUG